AUCUGUGGGGGUGUAAGUAGGACGACUGUUAGGAAACGUCUCUCCUCACUGCUCCAGAGAAGCAUGAGCAGACGAGGAGAGUGGGGCUCAAGGCCAGAGCAUGAGAGGAGCAGAAACAGUUACUGGCGGCGAGUCUUUCAUGAAGGCUAUGGGGCAUGUGGAGAUUCCAGGGGCAUGCAAUCACUGGCACAUUAAACAGCACCUCUGCAGGAAGUGUUUCAUGGGGCAGCUAGAGGGCUGGUAAGGACUGAGAAAGGCCUGGAAGCCUAUACCAAAGGCAACAUUCUGAUGGUGUGCACAGGAAGAGGAGGAGACUAUCGCUGUGAUGCCGCAUACUGAGGUGUGUGACAGUGUGCACAGGACACCUGAGACUGAUUUAACGAUGCCCACCCAAAGUGAAGUUUCCUAUUCCAUCAAUUACCUUUAUUUGAUUUUUCUGCAUAGCCAAAGGGAAAGAGCGCGUCCAAGUGAGAUGUCAGUGAUUGGAGGCAGGUGAUGUCGACAGAAAGGUAUUUCCUCCUACUGGGUUAAAAAGGCAUGUGGAAGUCCCUGGGUAAUAGCCCCUGCAGUUUGCCUCCUGAACUGUCCUGCCUUGGAGGAGACAGCACGUGGAUGGGAGGAACAACAGAACUGUCCAGGCAGCUUUGAUGUCCUCCAACCACAGAGUCAGUAGCAGAGACUAUGCAAGAGGAGUGAGGAGCUGGAGACAAUACUGCCAGACAGCACUCUCCCUUUCCUUUCUCCUGACUUGAACACUGUGGGGUGGGGACAGCUCUGUGUGGAACUCUUCUUUAUCUGGCUGCUGACCCUGGCCUAGGCCUGCCAAGCACUGCCACGGAAAAUACCUGUUAUUGGAGUCGAAGAAGGAUCCUGGAAAAUACAUGUUCUGUAUGAAGAAACUGAGGGAGAAUGUGCAUGCCUAUGAAGACUCUACUCUCACUUUGUACCAAAAAUAAAAAAGAUAAAAAAAAAAAAAAAAAGGAUUAAGAGUUGACACUGAACAUCUGAGGCAGGGCACAGUUACAUCCAACCUCCCUGAAGCCACCGUGUUAUGAUUGUACCCAAGCUGGUCAAGAGAGGUGCCUAGAGAACAGCUGCCCCUUCCAAUGCCAGCCUUCAUGUGACUGUCCCUCAGCUGUCAUCUGACUCAAGUAGGUGAGUCGCCUCAGUAAGGACUAACUAGAUGGUUCUAAACUUGGAGAGAUAUCA